GGGUUGUGAGGUUAAGCGACUAAGCGUACACGGUGGAUGCCCUGGCAGUCAGAGGCGAUGAAGGGCGUGCUAAUCUGCGAUAAGCGCCGGUAAGGUGAUAUGAACCGUUAUAACCGGCGAUACCCGAAUGGGGAAACCCAGUGUGACUCGUCACACUAUCAUUAACUGAAUCCAUAGGUUAAUGAGGCGAACCGGGGGAACUGAAACAUCUAAGUACCCCGAGGAAAAGAAAUCAACCGAGAUUCCCCCAGUAGCGGCGAGCGAACGGGGAGGAGCCCAGAGCCUGAAUCAGCAUGUGUGUUAGUGGAAGCGUCUGGAAAGGCG
rnacentral:rRNA from 1 species